rnacentral:lncRNA from 10 species
GAUGAUUUUAUAAGGGAUUUCCCCUUUCUUUUCGCUCUCAUUCCCUCUUGUCUGCUGCCAUGUGUCUUGUGUCUUUCACCAUGAUUGUGAGGCCUCCCCUGCCGCGUGGAACUGCACCCUCGAAGACCUAGCAGGAUCAUGGUAGAAUCUAAGAAAAAACAACCGUGAAUUCAAUGGCUUAAGCUAGCUCUUCUCUAUUAUCUCAAAAAAGGCAAUUUUCUGGAAAGACUGAAAAGUUUUUGUUCUCAUUUUCUUCAAUAUGGCAGUAAUCCUAAAUCUUAAAGCAAUAAAAAUAGCCAUUAUAAAUUCAAGGAAAGAGUUGGAAUAUUUUUUUAUAAAAAUCUGACUAUGUCCUCUCACUCAAGUCACUUAAGGAGUUAUUUGUACAGCUCCUGCUGCUAUUCAAAGUAGCCAGAGCUCUAAUUCAAGUAAUAUCCUUUCUUCUUCAAUUCCGCAUACUUCCUCACCCCUGUGGGUCAGCACUUUGUUCAGUAUUUGUGACUGGAUUACUGGUCUUUCCCCAACAACCACUAUUUUUCUUCCAUUUCUGGGUUUCUUCUCUUCUCACGUUAUGAAAGCCAUACUUUUGUACUUAGCUUUUACACUUUCGAGAACAUUCG